rnacentral:lncRNA from 1 species
UGCCAUAAGGGAGAAGGUUGCUGCCGGAAGUUACUGCCUUGUCCAGAAGAAGUCUUCUGGCUUUGCCCAAUACUUGGAUGAUUUUUCCAACCUUGGUUAGAAUUACCUUGGUUGAAAUUUCCUUGCUUGUACUGAAAUUGGGCCCCCAAACAAUUCACAUCCUGCUGCAUCUCCUCCGUAAAAGCACAUUGACCAUUAAUAUGGUCACCACCGCAUAAAUUACAAAGUUGCUGAGCCUGAGAAAUAUUUCUAAGUCCCCGAGGAAGUUCGGAGAUGAUCUUUGUCAACUUGUCC